GAACAAUCUUGUAUAGAGCAACUGAAUUACGGAAAAAGGAUUUGAUUUCUGUGUACAAAGAUAAAGUGAAGGGUUUGGUGAAGAAACUUCUUGCUCUUGAUGGAGUUUCAGAAAGUGAGGUCUGCUUUGAAGAUUUCCUUUGGGCGAAUUCUAUAUUUUGGUCUCGUGCUCUGAACCUUCCUCUUCCACAUUCUUAUGUAUUUCCCCAAAUUCAAGAAGAUAUCGAGACAACUUGUCCAGUUGAAAGAAGUUCU